rnacentral:lncRNA from 1 species
UUACAACAUCUCCUUAUGCAAAGUCCAUAUGGACUCACCAAAGCACCCCAAUCUAAAGAUUAAUGUUGAUAUUAAUUAUACUAAUACCAAAAAGGAUGGGGUAGGACUGAUCCUAAGGAAUUCUAAUGGAAUUUUCUCUAUGCGGGUACAAUUUCAGACUAUGCAACUAGCUCCAAAGAGGCUGAAUGUAAAAGAAUACUAUAUGCAGCAAAAUGGGGACUUGAGCAAGGAGUGACUCAUCUCGAACUCGAAUCUGAUUGCACGGGACGGUGGACUACAUAAUGGGGAACCAAUCGAACCUGUCCUGGAUAUCAAAAAAUAUUUUGGAUCAAGUAGCACCUGUUGGCCAGUUAUAUGAACAGCUUCAUACUGUUUCUUUAAAAGAAUAGGGAACUCAGCUGCUCACCUGCUAGCACGACGUGCUAAUCUAAGUUUCCUUCUUCCCUUCUCUUUUAACUCUGCUCCUUGUUGGCUACUGCCACAACUCAAACUAGAUUUGAUAUUCUGUAAUACUCUAGUUUCUUAAUUAAUAUAUAAUACAUGGUUAUUAAGGAAAAAAAUAAAAAUACCUUAACAUACUACAGUAUAUAUUAAAUUAUUUCAAAUACUUCAUUACGAUAACAUAAAGAUUUGUUGUAACACAUGAUGUUGGUAACUCCACAACAUAAAGUUAAGGUUUUCUUUUUUCACAACAGCAGUUUCAUUAAAACAAAAGCAUAAUAAGAGUAGAUAACAUAUUAACUCUCACCUAGCAUAUGGCAUCCAGGAUUUUCAUAUAAAUUUUACCAACCAUUGAUAUUGAAAGGGUUCUAGAGAGAAAGAAAAGGAAAACACAUUCCAAAGCUGCUGAAGCACACAAUAUCACCAUUAGAGGGCAGGGGCACCAGCCUUCCACUACUUCCAUUGCCACUCUACUAAAUGUCAAUGGACCGACCCCCAUUACUUUCUAUACGUGGAUGAGGUUUAUACAGCAAGUACCUGCAAUAUAUGAAUACUAGGCAGUUAAAUAUGUGGUUUUCUCACAGCACAACACAUCUACCAAAACCAAACAACAAAGGAGUACUAUACAAUACAUAUAUGAGAACCACCUUUUGUAUAUAGAUACGCAUAUAGGUAAUAUUUCACACAUGUUUCUCGAUAACCUUUAAUGGAUAGCAUAAACUUGACCAAAAUAAUUACUACCGUGAGAAACAUCUUUUAUAAGCGAAAUCGAAAACCCUGAUGUAACCUACUAUACGUCUACUCAAGACAGAAAAAGGACUGAUCAAUAGGGGUGGUUGUGCAGAAAGACCUACAACAGUUCCAUUAGUGAACUUGGAAGCUUUAUGGAACCAGAUUGCGAACUUGAAUUAGUGGAAAUGUGAUGUGUUGAAGAUUUGAAGGUGUAAAACAAGAAACAGUGGGACAAGCAAUGUAAUUGUUUCUUUCUCUAAGUUAGGUUAUAACUCUGGGGGUACCACAAUACCACAAUGUGAUAACAACCUUGCAGAGUUGCAUGACACAAACAUUACACUACAACGGAUUAACUGCCAAGGUUCACACCAUAACAACCUUAGUACAUAUACUAAUUAAACAAAGUAAACUAUUUUAGAUACAUAACAAGCUCAACUUACACUCCAUGACAAGGACGGAUCCAGGGGGGUGCAACCGCAGCCCCCAAAAUUCGAAUUUUUCAUUAUUUUCUCUAUGUUUCUUGUACAUAAAAAAAAUAAAAUAAAUAAUAGCUGAAAUAUAUAGAAUCGCACCCCCAAGCUUACAAGUAACUUUUGAGAAGGACAGAGUCAAUGACAGUCCUGCACCCCCCAACUCAGAUUCCUGGAUCCGUCAUCACAACAACCCUGCCAACAUUACCUCUUAGGGAAAACUGAGCAAGCCAAAAGCCACCUUUUACAGGGGUAAAUUGAUUGUCCCUUUACUUGUCAUAUAUGAUAUCUCGAUCCUAACAAAACUACUUUCCUAUCAUUGGCUUCUAAAUAGACUCGUCCGGUCGUCCCAACUGCUCCUAAUUUUAAUUGAUACACACAUAACUCCAAUGAUGGACGUACCACCUAAAGGUAAAGGAAAAUUUGUUAUUUCCAGGCUUCCAGAUAGACUGGAUUGUUCUCGAUCAUAACUUUUGUUAGACCUGUGGCACCCCCUAAAGCAAUUUAAAAUUACAGCUUGGCAAAAUCGAGGAAUUUCAAAUUACAAGAUAAAGUUAAGGAAUUUGAAACAACCCAAAUAAUAGCACAAACAGAAGUAUGAUAUUAAGUAAGCUAACCUUGUCCCAUCAGAGUUAGUGGUAAUUGGGAUCAGAUAAGAGUUGGGAGGAUUAUCAGCAGCAUCGAAAACAACUGGUUUUUCUUUACCGAAAAUUCCAAGACGAGAUUCUAAUAGAGAAAAGGAAGAAAAAAAAAUUAAAAACAAGUCUCCUUUAAAGCUUGCAAAUAUACAUAGGAAAAAAAUAAACAAUG